ACCGGCGAUUUCGAUUGAUUUC
rnacentral:siRNA from 1 species